GACUCUCUCCUCACUCAUAACUGCCUCUCACUCCUCAGCUGACUUCUGCCCAUCCAGCCUGCAGCUGAGCCUUUCCCAUGGCACCUUCUGGGGCUUCAGCCAUCCUGACGUCUGCUGGGAAAGUUGCACAAUGAGCUGUAGGCAAUCCAGAAGACUUCUGGAAAACAUGGAAGAUAACUUUCUGACCCAGAAGUGGUGAGGCAGUGGAACUUGUUUCCCAGAGAAGCUGUGGAUGCCCCACCUCUGGAAAUGUUCAAGGCAAGCUUUGAUGGGGCUCUGCACAACCUGAUCUAAUGAAGAGUGUCCUUGCCCAUGCAUUAAGGGUCAGAACUAGAUGAUAUUUAAGGUCCCUUCUAAUCCAAACUAUUCUGUGGUUCUCUAUUAAUGCCAAAAGGUCAAAACCAUUUAGGCUUACAUGUUUAUUUUUAUCUUGCAACUCUUUUUAAGGCAGUAAUUCUAAGAAAUAGCCUUGAAAAAACCUCUUGUCUUGUACACACAGUGCUGUUGAUUUACAGUAGCAAUAAGUUUGGAUCUUAAAAAGCCCAGGAAGUUUAUGCUAUUAGCACUAAGUUUUCAGGAGAGGUAAUAAACACUUGCUUUUAAAUUCUAGUGAGUGAUUUAAAAAUCUCAACACAAUAAAAUACAAAAUACUAAGUUAAGCUAUUCAUUAAAAUCUUUAUUGAGGAAAGACUGAAAACCCACUUCCCAUAUAUGCAUGCUUGACAGAGAUUUGGGUCUGAGACAGUGGAAAUCUGUUCUAAUAGUUCUGAAGAAGAUAAAAUAGUCUAUAAGGAUUUUUCUCUUUUGUUUGUAUGAGUUUGAAAUAACAGAGCAGUAAUCUCCACUGAAUAUCAGAAAGAUAAAUUUGUCUUAUUAAAAAAAAAACCACAAAAAACUCUGGAUGUCUAAAUAGAGAUAUUAAUCAUGUGGAUUCCAUAUUACUUUAAUUUUUGAUAUAAACAAUUAGUGUUAUUAUUAUUUCUGCAAUUGUAAUUUUACUUUGUCCCAAGUGCAGCAUUACUUUUCACAUAUCUUUAUGCUUGAUAUUUCAGAAUGAGGACUGUUACGAGAUUUUUAGACUAUCCACUAUUGCAAGCUAAGAAAAUUACUCAUUUUGCACUUGAUAAUAAUUGUAUAAAUGCAGGAUAAGGACAAGUAGCAGUUUCAUAGAAAUUAGUUUGAGGAAAUAAUCAAGCUACACUUAAAUCAAACUUUUAUUUACCCCCAUAGAAAGACAAUCAAUUUAUUGAUAGAUAAUUUUGAAAAAAAUAAAAAAAUGUCUACAAGGUAUGGAAAGGGAAACUUCUUCUCUACCAUACAUUGCUGGGGGUCUAUACUGGAGAACUGCAUUCAGAUCUGCAACUUUACACCCCAGAAGAGCCCAGUUCAUACAUCCAAAUGAGACUAAAGUAAAUUAGCAAUUGUAUAGAAAUGAAAUGUAUGAGAGCAGGUUUAGAAAGGAACUUAUUUAAUUUCUAAAACUUAAGACUGAGUACAGGAGUGUUGAUGCUCUCCUAAUUAAUCAAAAACUAUUGUUAUGAGAAAGGCAAUAAAAUGUUCUUUAUGUCCAUAUUUAACUGGGUUUCAAACUGAAAAAAACAGAUUCAGGUUACAGUUUAAAAAUAGCAUUUUGAUGAUAACAAUAAUGAAACAGUGGAAUAGUUUGAUAUAAGUAGACUGUGGACACCUUUAAACAAAGGUUAAGUAAACACCUAUAGGUAGGUUCAUAGCUAGACUAAUAUUGCCUUAGAGCUUGAAGGUUAACUAGGUGACAUACCAAUCCUCUGUCAUUCUAUGCAAGCCAUACAGAAACCUACAUAGAAGAACAGAGGUUUGCCUAAAUGUAUUUACAACAAAUGGGGUGAGGGGAGAGGGGAUGAACCAAAACCAGCCUUCUAUAUAUCAUGGCUCACAUUUCAUUAUCAGAUUGUUAUGCUUUUACCAGUGAAAACUGAUAGAAUUGGUGACUUUUUUGAAGUGUAAGAACGUUUAUAAUAUAAUAGGCACAUGAUGAUAAAAUAAGAAAAAUACGUAGGGGUAAAAGCUACAGCAAAAUAAACCAGGUUCCAUUGGCAAAAGGAUUAAUGGUUAGAUACUUAAUUUCUGCUAGGUGUUCUUGUGUUCGCAAAAUUUUUUAAAGAAUUCUAUUCCAUCUAGAUAUGAAAGAGUCUUUAUUUUCCCAUCGAUAAGUGUUAGACAACUUCAUUUUCCUUUUCUUUUAUGCCUUUGAGGAUUUGGCCCAAUCUGCAAAUAACUAUAAAUCUUUCCUACACACCAAUUAAUACAGUUGAAGCACAAGUCAAGGCCAAUGCAAUGGUAACUUUCAGAUGUUUUUGAAAUGCUUCAGCACUGAGCUAGAGUUUAUUUCAGAUAUACAAUAGAUAGAACAGGUGCUAUCAAACAGUUUUAUUUCCUUUAUGACAUAAUGCCUCAAUCCCAUGAAUGACAACCUAGGUCUUUCCAAAUAGUAAACUUGCUGAGAAAUGGAAUGAAGAGGUUUGCAGUGAUAAUCUCAAGGCAUAGAGGAGACAGUACUACAGAGAGAAAUAUGGAAACAUCUAGCCUAACUUAAUGUGGAAACAAAAUGGGAAAAUUCUGCAUUUUAGAUGGGUUUUAGGGAAAAGACAUUUCCCUAUCAUACAAUUUUUCCUGAUAAUGGUAACUUUAAAGAACAAUAAACCAAAUUUCACAAUGAAAAAUAUUUACUUUAAAAUAACCCCCAAACACUCUAAAUGUUAUAAUUCAAAACGUUUAGAGCAAGGUAAAUAAUUUUCUUCAAGUAAUUCUGUUUUACUGUUUACUUUGAUACACCUUAACAGAAAUGUAUAGGAUAAGAAAUUAGUUCUUACAGUUAUUCUUGAUCCUGUCCCUGGGGAAGAAGGAGCAGCAGACACAAUGGUGAACUGACUGACUCUCCCAUUCCCUGCCCCCCUGCUGCAUGAUGGGAGGAGGUAGAGAAAAUCAGGAGUAGCAUUA